rnacentral:rRNA from 1 species
AUACGGAGGGUGCAAGCGUUAAUCGGAAUUACUGGGCGUAAAGCGUACGUAGGCGGUUAGUUAAGUUAGAUGUGAAAGCCCCGGGCUUAACCUGGGAACUGCAUUUAAAACUGGCUAACUAGAGUUAAGUAGAGGGGAGUGGAAUUUCAGGUGUAGCUGUGAAAUGCGUAGAGAUCUGAAGGAACACCAGUGGCGAAGGCGACUCCCUGGACUUGAACUGACGCUGAGGUACGAAAGCGUGGGUAGCAAACGGAAUUAGAAACCCCAGUAGUCC